rnacentral:rRNA from 1 species
CACGGAGUUAGCCGGAGCUUAUUCUCCCGGUACUGUCAUUAUCAUCCCGGGUAAAAGAGCUUUACAACCCUAAGGCCUUCAUCACUCACGCGGCAUUGCUGGAUCAGGCUUUCGCCCAUUGUCCAAUAUUCCCCCACUGCUGCCUCCCGUAGGAGUCUGGGCCGUGUCUCAGUCCCAGUGUGGCUGAUCAUCCUCUCAGACCAGCUAAGGAUCGUCGCCUUGGUAAGCUUUUACCUUACCAACUAGCUAAUCCUACGCGGGCUCAUCCUUGGGCGAUAAAUCUUUGGACUUUCGUCAUCAUCCGGUAUUAGCAGUAAUUUCUCACUGUUAUUCCGAACCCAAGGGCAGAUUCCCACGCGUUACGCACCCGUGCGCCACUAGACCCGAAGGUCUCGUUCGACUUGCAUGUGUUAGGCAUGCCGCCAGCGUCGUUCUGUAGCCACGGAGUCAAACUAC